rnacentral:rRNA from 1 species
UAAUGUCUGGGAAACUGCCUGAUGGAGGGGGAUAACCACUGGAAACGGUAGCUAAUACCGCAUAAUGUCGCAAGACCAAAGUGGGGGACCUUCGGGCCUCAUGCCAUCAGAUGUGCCCAGAUGGGAUUAGCUAGUAGGUGGGGUAACGGCUCACCUAGGCGACGAUCCCUAGCUGGUCUGAGAGGAUGACCAGCCACACUGGAACUGAGACACGGUCCAG